GUUUGCUCUCAAAAAUGGAACAUAAUCCAGCAGCCGGAUUCCAGCUUUCGCUAUUGCUAAAACUCCAUCGCCAAAAAAUACUAAAUGGAUUUUAGCAAUUUUGGGAGAUUUUUGCGAUUCGCGCUUAAAAACUCAUCUCUAAAAAGAUUCUUUUUUUGGUUCAAAAUGAACCCGGAUAAAGUGAGUGAACAGUUUUUGACAGCUCAUCAGCUAAAAUGGCGAUUCCAGCGUCUUUUCCAUUGCUACAAAUCUCCAUUGUUGGCUUAAAAUUCUGCGAAUUUGGCGACUAGAAAAAGUUGGUGCUAAAAAAAUAACGCGACAAAAAAGCAAAAUAUGGAAAACCGCAAUAGCAAAAGAGUGACGAAGGAUAAAAAAUAUAUGCUCGUUCAAUAUUUGGAGGAUCAUAGAGAGUUUGCUCACGACAGAUUCGUCAAUGGCACCGGGAGCAAAAGUUUAGCUGAGCAGUGGAACCACCUCGCCGAAAAAUUAAAUGCUUGCGGAGGAUCCAUAAAAGAUGGUGAAGGAUGGAAGAGAGCGUGGGUAAAUAU